ACAGGGUGAGGUGGGCCCAGGAGGACCCAGCGGUGCACCAGGGCUGACAGGCUCUAAAGUGAGCUCCACUCUUCUGUGUGAAUAUGUUCAGAUAAAUAUAUUUUGGCUCUGAGCUUUGCGUAGCCCACUCACAUGUUCCAACUCUGUUAAUGCAGGGCGAGAGAGGAGAUCCAGGACUGCCAGGGAAACCGGGCCCACCGGGCCCGAAGGGUCCUGCCUCACGACUGAACGUUGGCACUAUUGGAAUGCCAGGGAAAAUGGGACGUUCAGGUGAGAAAGGAGAUGCCGGACCUCAAGGAGAGACUGGACCAAUGGUACGAUCUGGUUUUGAGUUUUAUUUAUCGAUGGUUGUCAUCUGACCCAUAAGGUUUUCUGUCA
rnacentral:lncRNA from 1 species